rnacentral:rRNA from 1 species
AAGCCAUGCAUGUCUAAGUAUAAGCAAUUAUACCGCGAAACUGCGAAUGGCUCAUUAUAUAAGUUAUCGUUUAUUUGAUAAUACUUUACUACUUGGAUAACCGUGGUAAUUCUAGAGCUAAUACAUGCUGAAAAUCCCGACUUCGGAAGGGAUGUAUUUAUUAGAUUAAAAACCAAUGCCCCUCGGGGCUCUCUGGUGAAUCAUGAUAACUAGUCGAAUCGACAGGCCUUGUGCCGGCGAUGGCUCAUUCAAAUUUCUUCCCUAUCAACUUUCGAUGUUUGGGUAUUGGCCAAACAUGGUGGCAACGGGUAACGGAGGGUUAGGGCUCGACCCCGGAGAAGGAGCCUGAGAAACGGCUACUACAUCCAAGGAAGGCAGCAGGCGCGCAAAUUACCCAAUCCCGACACGGGGAGGUAGUGACAAUAAAUACUGAUACAGGGCUCUUUUGGGUCUUGUAAUCGGAAUGAGUACAAUUUAAAUCCCUUAACGAGGAACAAUUGGAGGGCAAGUCUGGUGCCAGCAGCCGCGGUAAUUCCAGCUCCAAUAGCGUAUAUUAAAGUUGUUGUGGUUAAAAAGCUCGUAGUUGAACCUUGGGCCUGGCUGGCCGGUCCGCCUCACCGCGUGCACUGGUCCGGCCGGNCCUUUCCCUCUGCGGAACCCCAUGCCCUUCACUGGGUUGUGGCGGGGAAACAGGACUUUUACUUUGAAAAAAUUAGAGUGCUCAAGGCAGGCCUAUGCUCGAAUACAUUAGCAUGGAAUAAUAGAAUAGGACGUGUGGGUUCUAUUUUGUUGGUUUCUANGACCGCCGUAAUGGAUUAAUAGGGNACAGUCGGGGGNCAU